GCGGAGUUUGACAUUUGCGCUUGGGGGGGGAAAACCUUUUUUACUGACGUCAGUACACAGUCCCAACUAUUGCGUGGUGGGCUGCUACGGAUACAGUAGCACUAAAGCCAGCGCUCACCGCACUGAGUAUGACUUUUCCACAUACGAACACAACUCGUCCGGUCGUGCACGCCUCAUGCCCGCCGUACAC